rnacentral:lncRNA from 1 species
CGAACCCUGUUCCAAUUGUCUUCUCUUGUUCUGUUGCUGUUAUUUUCAAUAAUGAUGAAUUUUGAGCAAUUAUAUUUAUGUUUAUUAUCAAUAUUAUCUGUGUAAUACUACUUUACUGAGCAGUAGUAUAUCAAAUACCCCCACUAUUCUGCCAUCAUACAUUUGCGCUCGGACGCUCUGUCUCCAUCCUUUUCACUCAGCUCUUAUUAUGAGAUUGUUACUAUGCCGUGAAAAUACGUGAAACACUUCUCACUCCUCACUUCCCAAAUAUAAAUCGAACCAAAAUCCCAAAUCCACAUCCAACCAAAUUGUUCCAGUUCUCAGUUUGUGAACCCAAAAUCCCAAAAUCGAACCUAAAGCUGUGAUUCUGCAUUUUGCGUUUGAUUUGUUUCAGUUCGUGAACUCAUGAUCAUCAUUUGAUUUGUUUCAGUUCGUGACCAGUGACCACCGUUUCAGUUCUGCCAAG